rnacentral:rRNA from 1 species
UACGGAGGGGGCUAGCGUUGUUCGGAAUUACUGGGCGUAAAGCGCACGUAGGCGGAUAUUUAAGUCAGGGGUGAAAUCCCGGGGCUCAACCCCGGAACUGCCUUUGAUACUGGGUAUCUGGAGGUCGAGAGAGGCGAGUGGAAUUCCGAGUGUAGAGGUGAAAUUCGUAGAUAUUCGGAGGAACACCAGUGGCGAAGGCGGCUCACUGGCCCGAUACUGACGCUGAGGCACGAAAGCGUGGGGAGCAAACAGGG